UACAGAGGUCUCGAGCGUUAGGCGGAAUCACUGGGCUUAAAGCGUGUGUAGGUGGAUGCCUAAGUACCUUGUGAAAUCCCACAGCUUAACUGUGGAACUGCUUGGUAUACUGGGUGUCUUGAGUCACUCAGGGGCGAGCGGAACAAAUGGUGGAGCGGUGAAAUGCGUAGAUAUCAUUUGGAACGCCAACGGUGAAAACAGCUCGCUGGGGGUGUGCUGACGCUGAGACACGAAAGCCAGGGGAGCGAACGGG
rnacentral:rRNA from 1 species